CUUGAUCAAGAUGUUAUAAGUAUCAUUGUCAAGGAGAUGUAAAAGUGGUGGAAACACACAUCUGAAGAUGGCUCAUCAGGAUUUCUGGUGCUUUUUUCCUAAGAAUUUCAAAAAUAGAAGCAGUCCAGGGUUAACUGCAUGCUUGACUUCCCACAGUGUUUAUUCCAAGGUAUCUCACUCAGGCACCUGACCACCAGCAAUCUCCUUUAUCCCUGUGGCCUUCAUCCCUUGCUGUGAAGAUUAUGAAUCUGAAUUUUGAAUUAUG
rnacentral:lncRNA from 12 species